GCAACAAUAGCUUAAUAAAGAGCAUUGGUCUUGUAAGUCAAAGGUGAAUAAAUAAAUUUCUUGUUGCU
rnacentral:tRNA from 1 species